GAGACACUAGUAAAGACUAAUUACACUACCUUGUCGAGAUAGAAUCGCGGGUUGAACCCCCGCGUGUCUUA
rnacentral:tRNA from 1 species